rnacentral:rRNA from 1 species
AAACGAUGUUGGAAGGCACAGACAGCCAGGAUGUUGGCUUUUAAGCAGCCAUCAUUUAAAGAAAGCGUAAUAGCUGAGUGGUCUAGUCGGCCUGCGCGGUAGAUGUAACGGGGCUAAACCAUGCACCGAAGCUGCGGCAGCGCCGCUUAUGCGUUGUUGGGUUGGGGAGGGUUCUGUACGCCUGCGAAGGUGGCCUGUGAGGGCUGAUGGAGGUAUGAGAAGUGCGAAUGCUGA